UUAAGUUCAGCGGGUAUCCCUACCUGAUUCGAGGAGUUCCCACGUAAUGCUCUACCCCGCCCGACACACGGGCCAGGGCUGGCAGCCUCGCCGCGCACGAGCGCCAAUGCGUCAUAUCACGCUCGGCCACGCGGCAGGCGUCCGCCCAUGGAUUCCAGCGCGGUGGCCGCCCUGCUCGGGCACGCCACCUCCGCCACGAC
rnacentral:misc_RNA from 1 species